AAUGAGGAAGUGAAGGAGUGAGUUGGUGAGAGGACACGAGGUGGCCGACAAACGUGUGCACAUCGGCGGUUCGGGAAGAAAAAAAAAACUGUAGCAUUAAAAAAAAAACUAACAACUGAGUUUGCAGACGACAUAAAAGGACACCUAGCAGAUAAGAGACUGCUGAACAAAAAUAAACCGGAAUGAACUCUGUGAGGAGAGCAUGGUGAGAGUGGCUCGGCGUGCGUGCAUGCGUUCCCACGUGCGUGCGUUCCCGUGACAGACAAAAGGAUAUCGCAAGUUCUUUUCAUCUGAGUACUUAAAGUUUGCAACGCGACUGGUCGUGUGCAGUGUGUGAGCACCGGAGAAACUAAGGCUACGAAAUUCGGCAGGAGUGACCGGAGGCCACGUGGAGACUUCUACUGCAUCUUGGCUUCGUUUUCAUCGUUGGGUGGUGACUCCAGCAGGAGAGCAGUCAGUGUGAUUCUUCAGGGAAUGAUGACAGUCCCACAGGGUGAAGAUGGACACUGCAACAGAUUAGAGUCGUGUUUCCUACAUAUCACAUGAUCCAGCCAGUUUGGAGCAGAUCUCUUUAAACUCUGGUUUAUUGUCAGUCAUCACACUGUACCUGAGCAGAUGACUCCUACGUCCUCAUGGUGUCCACAUUCACCCUCUUCACACAGCUGAUAUCUGCAGUUCCACAGGGACGUCUCGUUCCCCUCACACUCCACCUCAUUCAGCCAUAUGGACCCAGUUCCAGGACCAAACCAGGCUGGUAUGUGGUUACUGAGGGCCUCUCCACACUGCAGCUGUCUGCACACCACCUGAACAUCCUCAAUACCCCAUGAGUCAUCACACACAGUCCCUCACGAGCCGCUGUGGAAAACCUCCAGCCUUCCUGCACACUCUCCCCCAGAACCAACCAGCCUGAUGGAGCUGGGAUCUUUAUUACACACACACACACACACACACACACACACACACACACACACACACACACACACACACACACACACUCUUUAAUCAAAUAUGAAAAAACUCAUUAAACAACACCAUUAGUCUAAAUAUUAGUUAAAAUAUAAUUAAUACAUAAUAGUAGCUCACACAGUUAAUUAACAGUUUUGUUCCCUUGUGGCAUAACAGGUAAAUGAGAGCAGGUAAAUAUGUUAAUAUGAACAUUUAUUGUUCAAGACUGAAAGAAAAAAAUAUUUGUUCUGUUGCCAUGAAGUGUAAAUUAACUGUAUUUUUAAUUAAUAUGCUAAACAACUACUUUCCUACUGACAGAGAUCUGUUUCUUAACCUACAUUUUAAAGUGCUGGUUUUCUACAGACCUGCUCAUUUGUGGGUGUUUACCUGAGCAGGUGAUGUAGAGCUGUUCCCUGGAGCUGCAGUUGACAUGUUCAGCUUGUGCACUGCGGCAGUUCCUCAGAUGUUCUUCACUCCCAGAGCAGCUGAAACCUGUUACACACAUGUGUUUGUGUUCAGUGGUGGAUGGAGAGGAGCGGUAGUUCAGCACAGAGCCACAGCCCAGCUGUCUGCAGAGCACAGACGCCUCAGACAGUCUCCAUGAGUCCAGGAGAACUCUUCUCCAGUCCCUCCACACUCCAGCGCACACUCCCUCCCUCCAGACAACCGCACUCGCCCCUCAUGAAGCGCCGCAGAGGAUCCUGAAGCAGAAGAAGAUGACUCCAGCAUCAUGUUUAUGAGAGCAUGCAGCUCGACUCCAUGAUGAGACACCACAUUGUGAUAGGUGUGUCUCCUUCCCCUGACAAUCAAACACAUCAGCCCAGAUGUGGUUACUCCCCUCCCCAAACCAGUCCACCUUCACCACAGCCACAGCACUUCCACAAUCCAGCUGUGCACACAGAACAUCUGCAGCUCUCAUAUCCCAGUUUACAGCACAAACUGUGCCCCACACACCGAGGUACAGGAGCUCCACUCGACCAGAACAGGAGUCCGGUCCGUUCACCAGCCGCGCCUCUGUGUGACCUGAACAAACAGCCGAGAGCUCAGUGAAAGAGGAACAUUAACACAGGCACCUUAAAGUUUUAUUGACAGCUAUGUGGUCUCUGUUUAAACAGAAGUUACAUCAUGAUACUUAACCAGAACAUUUUAAUUCCACAUCGUUGUCAUGGGAACAGGUUGAGUGUUUGAGUGAAGAUGAUGAUGGACAGAAGUAAAUCCCUGAUUCGUUUCCUCUACACUGAAGCUCCUCUGUCCACACCUGACCCUCCCCUCGUCCAAAAGCAGCUGAUCCCAGAACCUUCACAGGAAUCCCACAGCCCAGCUCUUGACACACAACCUCUGCAUCCUGCUGGGCAAAGUCAGCAUCACACACUGUGGACCAAGAACCUCCAAGAAACACCUCCACUCUCCCAGAGCACCGGUGAGGUCCAGCAGUGAGUCUUGGGAUGAUGUGACCUGUGUUUUAUUUGUAUAUUUAUAAUAGUGAUCAUAAUGUAACUAACUGUUGAGGUACUCUUUUCAUAAAUACAAUAGUUUACCUGAACAAGUGACUCCAGCAUCAAUAUUAUGAAAACAGAAAUGUCCCCC